GAAAGAUGAAAAGAACUUUGAAAAGAGAGUUAAACAGUACGUGAAAUUGUUGAAAGGGAAACGAUUGAAGCCAGUCGUACCUUCGGGUAAUCAGCCUUUUGGGUGUGAUUUUGUGGAGCGUGAGGAGUUAAACGCCUUCAUGCCUGCAUAUUCGUGCACUUUGGGUGUACUUGCCCGUAUGGUUGGUUAACAUCAAUUUUGGUGGUCAUAAAAUGACUGGAGGAAUGUAGCUUCGAUCUCGUAUUGAAGUGUUAUA
rnacentral:rRNA from 1 species